rnacentral:rRNA from 1 species
GACGAACGCUGGCGGCGUGCUUAACACAUGCAAGUCGAACGGAAAGGCCCCUUUGGGGGUACUCGAGUGGCGAACGGGUGAGUAACACGUGAGUAACCUGCCCUUGACUUCGGGAUAACUUCAGGAAACUGGGGCUAAUACCGGAUGGGAAUCCUUGCGGCAUGGUGGGGGUUGGAAGGCUUCGGCGGUUUUGGAGGGACUCGCGGCUUAUCAGCUUGUUGGUGGGGUAGUGGCUUACCAAGGCUUUGACGGGUAGCCGGCCUGAGAGGGCGACCGGCCACAUUGGGACUGAGAUACGGCCCAGACUCCUACGGGAGGCAGCAGUGGGGAAUAUUGCACAAUGGGCGGAAGCCUGAUGCAGCAACGCCGCGUGCGGGAUGACGGCCUUCGGGUUGGAAACCGCUUUCAGCAGGGGCGAAGCUUGUGGUGACGGUACCUGCAGAAGAAGCACCGGCUAACUACGUG